rnacentral:rRNA from 1 species
UACGUAGGGAGCAAGCGUUGUUCGGAUUUACUGGGCGUAAAGGGCGCGUAGGCGGCGCGGUAAGUCACUUGUGAAAUCUCUGAGCUUAACUCAGAACGGCCAAGUGAUACUGCAGUGCUAGAGUGCAGAAAGGGCAAUCGGAAUUCUUGGUGUAGCGGUGAAAUGCGUAGAUAUCAAGAGGAACACCUGAGGCGAAGGCGGGUUGCUAGGCUGACACUGACGCUGAGGCGCGGAAGCCAGGGGAGCAAACGGG